rnacentral:lncRNA from 1 species
GUGUAGGGCCGGCCCAGCGACUUGCUGUAACUAAUGGAAGGUGGCAGAAGUGACUGACGGAUCCGGGUCUAAGCCUUAAGGACUAGAAGCUUCUGCUUUUACUUAUUUAGGACCCCUGAGCGGACAUGUAAGAAGUCCAACCAUGUUCCUGAAGAGACCACAUGGAGAUGCCAUGUGAGAGAGAAGCUCUCAAACUACAUACAAGAGAACUGAGGAGCCCAGCUGACAGUAAGGACGGAGGCCCCACACGUAGGAUCCCAGUGGAGCCGUUAGAGCCAGCUGUGGAGGUGUCUUAGCCGAGCACGAAGAAGUAUCAAGGACAGAUCACAGAGAUAAAGAAAGUGAAGCCGGAUCUUUGGGAAUUGGAUAUGGCUUCUCAACUACACAUCUGGGAUUAGAGAAAGACUCUGCUUGAAGGUAUUUGGAGAAAAGAAAAAAAAGAUUCCUAUUUAUUAGGCUCUCUGAGACUAAGCCACGUUGUCAGAAGUUAGCUUGAACAGAGGUAAAUAUUAUAAAGCAACUCUUCUCUGCCAUUUUUAGACCCAGCCUCGGUAGCACAGAAUCAAUUUAGUUUUUUUUAAUUGUA